GCUUAGCUCAGCCGAUACAGUGUGAGACUCUUAAUCUCAGGGUCAUGGAUUCGAGUCCCACAUUGGGCA